GCCUCUGUAGCUCAGGUGGUACAGCUCCUUCGUGUUUUGUCUGCUUCAUUAGAUUUUCUGGGGAGACGUGGGUUCGAAUCCUGCCGGAGGCA